UGGUUGCCAUAGCUCCGAGCUCAUCGGGCUAAGUUCCUUAGUGAAUACGCUUUAUGAGCCAGUGACUGAAGUCACCAGGGCAUAGUUGGAAAUGACUAUGCCUCCCGUGUUUGGAAAGGUGUUGAAUGGCGCAACAA
rnacentral:ncRNA from 1 species